CGAUGAUGCAUUUGAAAAGAAGCAUUUGUAAACCAUAAAACUUUCAUCUCUACCAGGCUCAGAAUCCCACAGUAGCUCCCUAAUUUCUUUAAGCCAUUUUCUGUCUGGUUUUUAGGAGUCUUCAUAACUGGUCUGCACCUUACCCAGCCACCUCAUUUCUCACCAUUUUCCACUACAGACUCUGAUAACAAUGAGGCCAGCCUUCUUCAUUCAGCAUUCUCUCCACUGGUUCUUCCCUGGAACACCAACAAUGACCACCAAGCCCCUCUGCUCAUCUUCAGCAUCUUCAUUCUCCUGCAUUUGUUCAGCCGUUGAACCCUGAACACUCUGACAAACACUGUCCUAUGUACUGGGGAUGCUUCUGGGAGCAAGAAAGACAAGUUCACUGCCAUCAAGGUCCCUCCGAGAGCUCUUGACAGUAAACAGGGUGUUCCCCUGCCAGCAUCCUCCUCCCUAAUUCUGGAAAUUGAGGAAUAAAUGGAGGCUAGCUGCUGACGUUCAAGCGGAGACACCAUUUCAUUCAUAACCUCCUUUCAGCAACCACUCAUGACUUUCAUGGAACGGA
rnacentral:lncRNA from 1 species